ACCUGGGUGGCUCAGUGGUUGAGCGUCUGCCUUCAGCUCAGGGCAUGAACCCGGGGUCCUGGGAUUGAGUCCCAGAUCAGGCU
rfam:Canis lupus familiaris chromosome 7, whole genome shotgun sequence.